rnacentral:hammerhead_ribozyme from 15 species
CCGGCGUCUAAGGUAGGCUUCCACUACAAUACCUUACUGAUGAGUCCAGUAGUGGAAGCCGGGACGAAAUGCCAA